rnacentral:lncRNA from 1 species
UGGUGGCCACUGAGAGCCGACAACAUUCCAUAGACUCCUACCCCAGCCUCCUUGAGCAGCAUGGGCCUGCCUUCUAGAACUCUCUGCAAGCUCUGAUACCCCCUCACCCACACCAGGGCUGGCUGGUGACCUUCAUCUGAUCCAUCAAGUCCCUCCUUAUGACUGUUGCUUCCGCAGCUCCUCUCACAGUCGGCGAGGUCUGACUCCUGUAACCCGUCCCUUAUUCCAUCGUGCUUAGAAGUGAUUCUGCCUCCCUGAAUGAUAUAGCACCCCACCUCUCCAGGCCUCAGUUUCUCUCCCACAUAAAAUGGGGAUGGGGUGAGAUAUACCAGCCCCAGGAAGGGGCUGCCUCCAGGUGCUAAGGGUUGUGAGCCUGGGAUUGAUUCUGGCAGGUAUGUUUUCAUACUCAGAGGACAAGCUUUAGGCCAGAAUCGUGACUCAGUCGGGCUUUUCAUCUUGGCACCAGUGGUAGGAGCCCCACAGAGCAGGGCCCAUGUGAGGUCAGCAGACAUAUUUAUGCUGGUGGUGGAAGGCAGGGGGCAUCCUUCUGAUGGUCUGAUGGGUUCUAUGACACGGUGGGUGCUGGACUGAGUGGUUAAAGCCUUUCCUGGUGAGAUGCUGCUCUCUCAGUCCAGAACGCAACUCCAGAUGGCCACCUCAUUCCCCUGGGAAGCCAGUGUGAGCUGAGUUAGAAGGCUUCUGGGAAGAUGCCGAGAAGAGCAAGAAUGUCUCCUUGGGACCAAGACCUGCUCUGCUGACUUGCUGGGCUGGGCAGCAUCCUGAAGGAUACCUGCUGGAUCUUCCUGCAACGGAGGAGAGAAGAUCCCUGUUUUUACAGAAUGCCUGUGACUGAAGGGGCCAAGGCCCUGGAGGAGGGGGUCCAGAAGCCCGUGCACCGCAUUGUGCAGCUAGCACCAGUUCUCCGGGUGAGGCUGGGAUGGCGGGCAUCACACUCCCUGGCUUCUGUGUUUCUCCCAGAGUCCCCAUGACCACUGCUUCACAAACGCAAGGGAGGGUGUGCAGGGCUUGGGCACAGGGAGGGUUUGUCGGGGAACCUUGGUAGCAGGACUGCGGGGAUGAGUCAGGGUCCCUCGGGGAGGAGGAGGGGAGUCACCUGCAUCCCUGGCCCAUCUGCCAUGGAGGCUCCAGCCCAUGGAGGCUGAGCGCACCCCGGCCCAGUACAGAAUCUGGGGGUAUCACGAUAGCCUGAAACACUGUUUCCAAGAGUAUAACGUAGAAAAGAAAGCUUUCUACCCAAAUUGGAAACCAAAAGGCACUGGUACUUUGUAGGGUCACCCCAGUGACUUGGAAUGCUCUGUGGGAGACCUUGUUCUUGGUGACACCACAAGUGACCAGCCUCUGUAACCCCAAUAACACAUGCUUGGACCUGCCAGGCCCUGUGGGCCAAGCCGGGGUAGAACCUGGUUCUUACCCAGACAUUUGGUAACUCUUGGAAGAUGGGAUUUUCUUCUUCAGCUGAUUUGAUGGUUAACUUAUCAUGUGUGGAAUUGGUAGCUUUUGAGGGAGACCUAUAUCUGAGGCACUAUGUGUGGAGGCAGCAGGGUUUCUUCCCCCACACAGGUGUUCUUUUUUUUGUGUGUGUGUCC